CCUACGGGUGGCAGCAGUGGGGAAUAUUGGGCAAUGGGCGCAAGCCUGACCCAGCAACGCCGCGUGAAGGAAGAAGGCUCUCGGGUUUUAAACCUCUUUUUUCAAGGACGAAAAAUAUGACGGUAGUUCAUGAAUAAGCCACGUCUAAAAACGUGCCAGCAGCCGCGGUAAUACGGCGGGGGCAAGCGUUAUCCGGAUUUACGGGUUGUAAAGGGGGUGUAGGCGGAACUGCAAGUCAUAUGUGAUAACCAUGGGCUCAACCCACGGACUGCAGUUGAAACUGUAGGUCUUGAGUGUUGGAGAGGUAGGCGGAAUUCGGUGUGUAGCGGUGAAAUGCGUAGAUAUACGGAGGAACACCAGUGGCGAAGGCGGCCUGCUGGACAAUAACUGACGCUGAGGCGCGAAAGCGUGGGGAGCAAACAGGAUUAGAUACCCCUGUAGUC
rnacentral:rRNA from 1 species